CCUGUCAUUUAAUUUCAACAGCUUUAAAUCACAUGCCAAUAAAAAUUCAUUAAAACAGGGCGACGAUUACAAACUCCCAUAAAGGGAAAGAAAAAACUAUCUAAGACGAUGAGUAUAUUUACUUGGGAAAAGUCCAACUCGAAAUUUGUGGAGUUGUCCUUCAAGUCAGCAGCGGAAACUAUUUUUCUCUGCGCUGAAAAGGUUCAGAAGGAGCACCGCACCACUCUGGAACUGGGAGCAGCUGUGUUGUUCUUAAUACUAUUGCUAAACCUUCUCUUUAAUGUGUGUACGUCUAAGAAGACUAAGCCAACUCCAGCCACUCCUGCUAAUGUGAUUCUGCUCUUGGAUAUUCGUGUGCCAAUGCCUUGCAAACAAGAACCGAUGGAAGUUGAGCCACCAAAACCGCCACAACAGAACAUCAGUCCCCAUCACCGUUAUGACUUGAGAAACAGAGAUCUUCGUCGAUUACGGUCUUGUAAAUGCAAGGUUUAAUAAAACAGAGAUAAACCCCAACGACAUUCCGGGAUCGAUAGUAUAAACCGUCUUGGAGGCGGAAAUGAGAAGGAAAUCCAAUAAAUUAUACUAGAACCAAAAAUUUCUGAAAAUGCUGGGAAACAGAGGGAUUUGUUUUAAAGUUAAUUAACUAUCGUUAGAUCAGACCAAGAAUCGCUGAAAGCUUUCCAUUAAAUGUUAGUAUACAUUUUA